UGCAAGUCGAGGGAGGAGCCUUCGGGCUGAGACCGGCACACGGGUGCGUAACGCGUAUACAAUCUGCCUUUCACAUAGGGAUAGCCCGAAGAAAUUUGGAUUAAUACCUAAUGGUAUAUAGGAGCGGCAUCGUUUUUAUAUUAAAGCUACGGUGGUGAAAGAUGAGUAUGCGUUCUAUUAGCUAGUUGGAGAGGUAACGGCUCCCCAAGGCGACGAUAGAUGGGGGUUCUGAGAGGGAUGUCCCCCACACUGGUACUGAGAUACGGACCAGACUCCUACGGGAGGCAGCAGUGAGGAAUAUUGGACAAUGGUCGGAAGACUGAUCCAGCCAUGCCGCGUGCAGGAUGAAGGUCCUAUGGAUCGUAAACUGCUUUUGUAAGGGAAGAAUAAGGGGUACGUGUACUUUGAUGACGGUACCUUACGAAUAAGCAUCGGCUAACUCCGUGCCAGCAGCCGCGGUAAUACGGAGGAUGCGAGCGUUAUCCGGAAUCAUUGGGUUUAAAGGGUCCGUAGGCGGGCUAAUAAGUCAGAGGUGAAAGCGUUCAGCUCAACUGAGCAACUGCCUUUGAAACUGUUAGUCUUGAAUGAUUGUGAAGUAGUUGGAAUGUGUAGUGUAGCGGUGAAAUGCUUAGAUAUUACACAGAACACCGAUAGCGAAGGCAUAUUACUAACAAUUUAUUGAUGCUGAUGGACGAAAGCGUGGGGAGCGAACAGGAUUAGAUACCCUGGUAGUCCACGCUGUAAACGAUGGAUACUAGCUGUUUGGAGCAAUCUGAGUGGCUAAGCGAAAGUGAUAAGUAUCCCA
rnacentral:rRNA from 1 species